UGGUUAAAAAGAUGAGAAGAAAGGCUUCUCUGUGACAUCACAAGGUAGGUUUAAAGGCUUCUCUGUGACAUCACAGGGUAGGUUUAAAGGCUUCUCUGUGACAUCACAAGGUAGGUUUAAAGGCUUCUCUGUGACAUCACAAGGUAGGUUUAAAGGCUUCUCUGUGACAUCACAAGGUAGGUUUAUUCAUGGUGCUGUAGAUAAUGAGCAUGAGGUUGAAGAGGUUACCUUUGCCACCUGCUGACUAUGGCUGAGGUAGUGAACAGGACGGCACAACCACCAUGGAGACAUACACUGAAGAGAAUUAUAGAGUGAAGAGAAAUAGGUCACAGUCAAAUAUAUUUGUCUCUGUGUUUUAUUGCAAGUGACACUUGGUUCUUCCGGAGAGCUGAGCUGUGCCGUAGAGCUGGAGAAUGCAUCUGAAUAAUCAGGACUCAUUGGAGUGGAAGACUCAGAUGUCGUCCUUGGUUAGAUUCCCAGGGAGCCAGGCAAUGUUACAGAGUGGAAUAGAAUGGGACUGGGGUGCCUGAGGAAAGGGGUGUGUGUGUGUGUGUGUGUGUGUGUGUGUGUGUGUGUGUGUGUGUGUGUGUGUGUGUGUGUGUGUGUGUGUGUGUGUGUGUGUGUGUGUGUGUGUGUGUGUGUUGGUUCUUCUAUAAUUCCUCACAAGGAUAGUAAAACAAGGAAAAUUCUCCCUCGGGGUGAAAUGUCCCACGUCCUCAUGAGGACAAACACUAUUUUAAGCUUAGGAGUUAGGUUUAGAAUUAGGUUUAGGUUUAGAAUUAGGUUUAGGGUUAGAAUUAGGUUUAGGGUUAGAAUUAGGUUUAGGAUUAGAAUUAGGGUUAGGGUUAGAAUUAGGUUUAGGAUUAGAAUUAGGGUUAGGGUUAGAAUUAGGUUUAGGGUUAGAAUUAGGGUUAGGGUUAGAAUUAGGUUCAGGAUUAGAAUUAGGGUUAGGGUUAGAAUUAGGUUUAGGGUUAGAAUUAGGGUUAGGGUUAGAAUUAGGUUUAGGAUUAGAAUUAGGGUUAGGGUUAGAAUUAGGUUUAGGGUUAGAAUUAGGUUUUGGGUUAGAGUUAGAAUUAGGUUUAGGGUUAGAAUUAGGUUAGGUUUAGGGUUAGAAUUAGGGUUAGGGGUUAAGGUUAGGGGUUACGAUUUUGAAUGGCAUCGACAGGCAGUAUGUUGGCCACUGUGAUAACAGUUGACCAGGCAGCGGACAGUAUGUUGUUCACUGUGAUAACAGUUGACCAGGCAGGGGACAGUAUGUUGUUCACUGUGGAUGUCUGUAGUGACGACGGUUGGUUAGCGUUUACCUGACCCUGUGAUCGUUCCUGUUCUGCUCUGAUGAGCUGUCCUCCAAACUGAGGCUCCUCCUCCACUCCACCUUCACCUUGGACUUCUUCUGGUCUGUGGUUCCUCGUCUUCGUUGUCCUGCAGAACAGACUCCACAGAGUCAGAAGAGAGCUGGCUCUGCAGUCCUUUCAGCUAUGGGUCUAACAACCCAGGUGGUGGAGGAGCAGGGUUGGGAAGUAAUUUAUUACAUGUAAUCUGAUUAGAAAAAACGAACUGUAAUCAGUUAUGUUACCAGAUAAAAUAUUGUCAUCAGAUUACAGAGACUUUAGAAAUACUAGAUAAUUACUUACUGAAAUGGUUUUAAAUUCAGAAAGGAUGUUUUCUCAAAUCAGCAUUGACAUUUGGCUCAAGUUUAAGUUUGUUCCACCUGAGCGGGUCAAACCACCAGUCAGAGACCACUAUGAUGAAACCAAAUGAUGACCACCAAUCAGAGACCACCGUGAUGACACACCAAAUGAUGAGCACCAAUCAGAGACACCGUGAUGACACAGAAAAUGAUGACCACCCAUCAGAGACCACCGUGAUGACACACCAAAUGACGACCACCCAUCAGAGACCACCGUGAUGACACACCAAAUGAUGACCACCAAUCAGAGACCAUAACGAUGACACCAAAUGAUGACCACCAAUCAGAGACCACCGUGAUGACACACCAAAUGAUGACCACCAAUCAGAGACCACUGUGAUGACACACCAAAUGAUGACCAUUGCCUUUAAAGUAAUCCAAAUGUAACCGAAAGUAAUCUGAUUACUUAACCAAGUUUGUGUAAUCCAAAAAGUAACUUCUCUGAUUACAAUUUUGGACAUUAUUACAUUUAUAAAGCAACCUACCAAACCAUGUGGAGGAGGGAGGCUCAUCGUGGGCUUUGGAGGACUGGUCUUUCGAGGCAGGUUCCUCGUCUUCGCUGGUCAUGGGCUUUGGAGGACUGGUCUUUCGAGGCAGGUUCCUCGUCUUCGCUGGUCAUGGGCUUUGGAGGACUGGUCUUUCGAGGCAGGUUCCUCGUCUUCGCUGGUCAUGGGCUUUGGAGGACUGGUCUUUGGGGGCAGGUUCCUCGUUUUCGCUGGUCAUGGGCUUUGGAGGACUGGUCUUUGGGGUCAGGUUCCUCGAGUCAGAAGCGAGCUGGACCAGCUCUGGAGUCCUUUCAGCCAUGGGGUUUAACAAAGCACUCCAUGAUGCAAUCCUCGUCCCCUGAGGAGGAAGUGGCACACGUUUUUUUGUGGCUAUACAAAUGAACCCUUUGAUCUCUACAGUACAUUCAUGGGCUUUGGUCCACCACACUCCUUUAAUUGUAACUCUACAAAGUAUGACACAUUCCUUUCAGAUGACUGAAGAACUGCUUGUAGCCUGUUUUCUUUCUGUUGUUGGUGAUUCACAAAUGUGAUUAAAUGACUGAAAUGUAUUUUUUUGCAUCAAUCUAUGAAUCCAUAUGAAUAAUGUAGGCCUAGAUAGUCUGCCUUGGAAUCCACUAUUGAUCUCAUGUCUUAUCCUAUAGAUUUGUCAUAUCUCAUGUUUAAUCCUAUAGAUGUUUUAAAUCUAUCUGGUGGUGUGUAGAUAUUUCACACAUACACUAUGGGACGGUUUCCCAGACACAGAAUAGGCCUGGUUUAGGACUUUAAAAACAUUUUAAUACAGAAUCUCCACUGAGAAUGCUUUUCAGUCUUGGAAAGUGGCCUGAAAUCCAGGAAACUGACCCUCUUUUUUUAAUGAUUGUAUCACAUCAACUACGUUCUGUUCCCUUUGCUCUUCCUUCUCUUGCUGCUAGCUGUGCUCCUCUGUCUGGGUAUCAUAUUACCAGGUUGGGAUAUACUGCCAUCUGCUGUUUGUUUACUGUAAAUACAUUUAUGGAGGAUAUUGUCUCAGUAAAUGCCCCUUAUGGCCACCCUAGUACUAUCCCUAGGGGCACUAAUCCUUCUGGGUUCAAAUGUUUUUAAGUGUCUGGAAUAUUUAACAGCAUCUUGUGCUUCCCAAAUGGCACCCUAUCAUCUAUAUAGUGCACUACUGUUGACCAGGACCUGUAAUGCUUUGGUCAAAAGUAGGGCACAAUGUAGGGAAUAGGGUGCCAUUUAGGACACCUACCUCAGAGACACUCCAAGGAUCUCCUCUGACCACCACCUCCCUCAGAGACACUCCAAGGAUCUGCUCUGACCACCACCUCCCUCAGAGACACUCCAAGGAUCUCCUCUGACCACCACCUCCCUCAGAGACACUCCAAGG
ensembl:lncRNA